GAUGAAGAACGCAGCGAAAUGCGAUAAGUAAUGUGAAUUGCAGAAUUCAUUGAAUCAUCGAAUCUUUGAACGCACAUUGCGCCCGCCAGUAUUCUGGCGGGCAUGCCUGUUCGAGCGUCAUUUCAACCAUCAAGCCCCCGGCUUGUGUUGGGGACCUGCGGCUGCCGCAGGCCCUGAAAACCAGUGGCGGGCUCGCUAGUCACUCCGAGCGUAGUAAUACAUCUCGCUCAGGGCGUGCUGCGGGUUCCGGCCGUUAAAAAGCCUUAUUUACCCAAGGUUGACCUCGGAUCAGGUAGGAAGACCCGCUGAACUUAAGCAUAUCAAUAAGCGGAGGA
rnacentral:misc_RNA from 1 species